rnacentral:rRNA from 1 species
AGUGAACGCUGGCGGUAGGCCUAACACAUGCAAGUCGAACGGCAGCACAGUAAGAGCUUGCUCUUACGGGUGGCGAGUGGCGGACGGGUGAGGAAUACAUCGGAAUCUACUUUUUCGUGGGGGAUAACGUAGGGAAACUUACGCUAAUACCGCAUACGACCUACGGGUGAAAGCAGGGGAUCUUCGGACCUUGCGCGAUUGAAUGAGCCGAUCUCGGAUUAGCUAGUUGGCGGGGUAAAGGCCCACCAAGGCUACGAUCCGUAGCUGGUCUGAGAGGAUGAUCAGCCACACUGGAACUGAGACACGGUCCAGACUCCUACGGGAGGCAGCAGUGGGGAAUAUUGGACAAUGGGCGCAAGCCUGAUCCAGCCAUACCGCGUGGGUGAAGAAGGCCUUCGGGUUGUAAAGCCCUUUUGUUGGGAAAGAAAAGCAGCAGGUUAAUACCCCGCUGUUCUGACGGUACCCAAAGAAUAAGCACCGGCUAACUUCGUG